UUGACUAUGGUUAGUUGCCUGUCUGCACUAACUUGUAUAGCCUUUCGGUUGUUGGUUUUUGUUAAGUGUUUCAUUCAUUAGAAGAGAAUGUAUGCAUACCACGCUGCUCCUUGGUCUCACUCAUACAACGGGCGUGACAGACAGAUGGAAGACAAAGGCACCAACUGUGCUAAUUAGCUAUCUAGCAUGCUCUGAAGACCUGCGUGUAAUGGAAGAAGGCUGCCAGGAACGUGUUGUCACUGAAAUAUUGUUUCAUGUGAUAUGAAGAACUGAGAGACUGCCAGGCCGUGGAAGAAUCCGGCUGUCACACCAGAACAGGAGACCGCUACUGUGAACAUUUUCGUGGCAAACUAUACCAUUAGACAACAAGAAAUCCAGAACCACAUAAUCGCAGACAACAAAAUAUUCAGUAACAUUCACCAGGUGGGCUUGUCUACAUUGGACCGUGCACUACAGUGCAACCGACUCCGGAUGAAACAGGUCUACAGGGUGCCAUUUUAGUGAAACUGAGGGUUAAGGAACAGCGCUAUGAAUAUGUAGUCUUGGAGCUGGAUGCCGCUGCAAUUCAGCAUGUUUAUAUUUACAUUGAGGCUGGCUUCAACCUAGCCAAAAGAAGGGGUCAGGAACCAAACAUUAUUGGCCAUUGUGAAUGUACCUGGACAUCCUGGAGGGAAUAUCACCAUGUGCGUAGCUGUUAGACAGCAAGGCAUCCUCAAUCACCAUGCCAACCUUGGUCCCUACAACACUGCCCUUCAUCACAUUCCUGGACACUACAUGGAAUCCUCAUUCCAGCCAAGCAGAGGGGUGGACCAGAGCAGCACCGGUUUGUUGUCAUCUGGGACUACAUGAUUUUCCACCGGGCUGCUAUGGUCCGUAACUGGUUCAUCGACCACCCACAACUUACUGUUCUAUACCUCCCACCAUAUUCCCCAUUCCUAAACCCAAUUGUAUAGUUUUUUUCGCAUGGCGAUGGAAGGUGUAUGACCGCUAUCCUCUCGCACACAUGCCUCUUCUCCUGGCAAUGGAGGAUGCAUGUAGUGAAGUUGAUGUGGGGGCUUUCGGCAGUUGGAUCCAUCACUUCAGGAGAACAUGGCUUGUUAUGUAGAUGAAGUUGCUGUGGUCAGACCAAAAUAGGAGGCAGGAUGUAGCCUAAUGUCUUUCUUACACUAUGCAUGUGUUUUGUCUUUGUUUGUUUAGCGCUUUGAAAGAAUGAGCCACUAAUGUUUUCAUUUUGUAAAGAAAACCCUCUUAGUGACUGUAUUCUCAUUUUGGGUAUCGAAAGUGUUACAUACCAAACAAGAGUUAAAAAAUAAUGCAUUUUGGAAAUAAAUGAGUGGUUUUAUUACAGUAUUGCAUG